rnacentral:rRNA from 1 species
CUACGGGCGGCUGCAGUGGGGAAUAUUGGACAAUGGGGGAAACCCUGAUCCAGCAAUGCCGCGUGUGUGAAGAAGGCCUGCGGGUUGUAAAGCACUUUCGGUUGGGAGGACUGCUUCUAGCACUAAUAUUGUUGGAAGUUGACGUUACCUUCAGAAGAAGCACCGGCUAACUCCGUGCCAGCAGCCGCGGUAAUACGGAGGGUGCAAGCGUGUAAUCGGAAUUACUGGGCGUAAAGCGCGCGUAGGCGGCUAGAUCAGUCGGGUGUGAAAGCCCCGGGCUUAACCGGGGAACUGCAUCCGAUACUGUCUAGCUUGAGUACAGGAGAGGAGAGUGGAAUUCCACAUGUAGCGGUGAAAUGCGUAGAUAUGUGGAGGAACACCAAUGGCGAAGGCAGCUCUCUGGCCUGAUACCGACGCUGAGGUGCGAAAGCGUGGGGAGCAAACAGGAUUAGAUACCCCCGUAGUC